UACGUAGGGGGCGAGCGUUGUCCGGAUUUAUUGGGCGUAAAGAGCGUGUAGGCGGCCAGGUAGGUCCGUUGUGAAAACUCGAGGCUCAACCUCGAGACGUCGAUGGAAACCAUCUGGCUAGAGUCCGGAAGAGGAGAGUGGGAAUUCCUGGUGUAGCGGUGAAAUGCGUAGAUAUCGUAAGGAAGACCAGUGGCGGAAGGCGG
rnacentral:rRNA from 1 species